GGGGACGUUUUGGAUUUGACGGGGUGAUCGUUUGUAUCAAACUGCGGGUCCGAGCGCUGUUCUCGGUUAUCAACGAGCAACUUAAAUUAAACGCUAACAACGUUAUCGAAGGCAAUUUCGGCAGAAGAGCAGCUCUCGCUGCUUAGUAACCGAUAGUUCGACAGACUGAACUAUGCCCACUCUGUACGGCCAGCUUGCCGCUGUACGGAGUCCACUAUGCAAGACGCAGUACGGGGAUGAGAAUUAACCGUAUCAAGACUUUUCUCAAGGAGCGUAUCUCUUAAAACUGCUUUGUUUUAGCUUAGGUUGAGGAAGCUUUCCUUGCUAAAAUAAGAUAAAAGACUCCUACGCUCGUAGAUGUUUGCUGCAUUCCAUUUCGGACAGGGGUUCGACUCCCCUCGUCUCCAUUA
rfam:Clostridium sp. CAG:306 genomic scaffold, scf115